rnacentral:rRNA from 1 species
GUAACGAGCGCAACCCUUGUCCUUAGUUACCAGCACGUUAUGGUGGGCACUCUAAGGAGACUGCCGGUGACAAACCGGAGGAAGGUGGGGAUGACGUCAAGUCAUCAUGGCCCUUACGGCCUGGGCUACACACGUGCUACAAUGGUCGGUACAAAGGGUUGCCAAGCCGCGAGGUGGAGCUAAUCCCAUAAAACCGAUCGUAGUCCGGAUCGCAGUCUGCAACUCGACUGCGUGAAGUCGGAAUCGCUAGUAAUCGUGAAUCAGAAUGUCACGGUGAAUACGUUCCCGGGCCGUU